GGGUUGUGAGGUUAAGCGACUAAGCGUACACGGUGGAUGCCCUGGCAGUCAGAGGCGAUGAAGGGCGUGCUAAUCUGCGAUAAGCGCCGGUAAGGUGAUAUGAACCGUUAUAACCGGCGAUACCCGAAUGGGGAAACCCAGUGUGACUCGUCACACUAUCAUUAACUGAAUCCAUAGGUUAAUGAGGCGAACCGGGGGAACUGAAACAUCUAAGUACCCCGAGGAAAAGAAAUCAACCGAGAUUCCCCCAGUAGCGGCGAGCGAACGGGGAGGAGCCCAGAGCCUGAAUCAGCAUGUGUGUUAGUGGAAGCGUCUGGAAAGGCGCGCGAUACAGGGUGACAGCCCCGUACACAAAAGCGCAUGUGCUGUGAGCUCGAUGAGUAGGGCGGGACACGUGGUAUCCUGUCUGAAUAUGGGGGGACCAUCCUCCAAGGCUAAAUACUCCUGACUGACCGAUAGUGAACCAGUACCGUGAGGGAAAGGCGAAAAGAACCCCGGCGAGGGGAGUGAAAAAGAACCUGAAACCGUGUACGUACAAGCAGUGGGAGCACAGGUUUACCUGUGUGACUGCGUACCUUUUGUAUAAUGGGUCAGCGACUUAUAUUCUGUAGCAAGGUUAACCGAAUAGGGGAGCCGGAGGGAAACCGAGUCUUAAUUGGGCGUUAAGUUGCAGGGUAUAGACCCGAAACCCGGUGAUCUAGCCAUGGGCAGGUUGAAGGUUGGGUAACACUAACUGGAGGACCGAACCGACUAAUGUUGAAAAAUUAGCGGAUGACCUGUGGCUGGGGGUGAAAGGCCAAUCAAACCGGGAGAUAGCUGGUUCUCCCCGAAAGCUAUUUAGGUAGCGCCUCGUGAAUUCAUCUCCGGGGGUAGAGCACUGUUUCGGCUAGGGGGCCAUCCUGGCUUACCAACCCGAUGCAAACUGCGAAUACCGGAGAAUGUUAUCACGGGAGACACACGGCGGGUGCUAACGUCCGUCGUGAAGAGGGAAACAACCCAGACCGCCAGCUAAGGUCCCAAAGUCAUGGUUAAGUGGGAAACGAUGUGGGAAGGCCCAGACAGCCAGGAUGUUGGCUUAGAAGCAGCCAUCAUUUAAAGAAAGCGUAAUAGCUCACUGGUCGAGUCGGCCUGCGCGGAAGAUGUAACGGGGCUAAACCAUGCACCGAAGCUGCGGCAGCGACACUCAGGUGUUGUUGGGUAGGGGAGCGUUCUGUAAGCCUGCGAAGGUGGCCUGUGAGGGUUGCUGGAGGUAUCAGAAGUGCGAAUGCUGACAUAAGUAACGAUAAAGCGGGUGAAAAGCCCGCUCGCCGGAAGACCAAGGGUUCCUGUCCAACGUUAAUCGGGGCAGGGUGAGUCGACCCCUAAGGCGAGGCCGAAAGGCGUAGUCGAUGGGAAACGGGUUAAUAUUCCCGUACUUGGUGUUACUGCGAAGGGGGGACGGAGAAGGCUAUGUUGGCCGGGCGACGGUUGUCCCGGUUUAAGCGUGUAGGUGUGUGUUCCAGGUAAAUCCGGUUCACUUUAACACUGAGGCGUGACGACGAGGCACUACGGUGCUGAAGCAACAAAUGCCCUGCUUCCAGGAAAAGCCUCUAAGCAUCAGGUAACAUCAAAUCGUACCCCAAACCGACACAGGUGGUCAGGUAGAGAAUACCAAGGCGCUUGAGAGAACUCGGGUGAAGGAACUAGGCAAAAUGGUGCCGUAACUUCGGGAGAAGGCACGCUGACACGUAGGUGAAGUGAUUUACUCACGGAGCUGAAGUCAGUCGAAGAUACCAGCUGGCUGCAACUGUUUAUUAAAAACACAGCACUGUGCAAACACGAAAGUGGACGUAUACGGUGUGACGCCUGCCCGGUGCCGGAAGGUUAAUUGAUGGGGUCAGCGCAAGCGAAGCUCCUGAUCGAAGCCCCGGUAAACGGCGGCCGUAACUAUAACGGUCCUAAGGUAGCGAAAUUCCUUGUCGGGUAAGUUCCGACCUGCACGAAUGGCGUAAUGAUGGCCAGGCUGUCUCCACCCGAGACUCAGUGAAAUUGAACUCGCUGUGAAGAUGCAGUGUACCCGCGGCAAGACGGAAAGACCCCGUGAACCUUUACUAUAGCUUGACACUGAACAUUGAGCCUUGAUGUGUAGGAUAGGUGGGAGGCUUUGAAGUGUGGACGCCAGUCUGCGUGGAGCCGACCUUGAAAUACCACCCUUUAAUGUUUGAUGUUCUAACGUGGACCCGUAAUCCGGGUUGCGGACAGUGUCUGGUGGGUAGUUUGACUGGGGCGGUCUCCUCCUAAAGAGUAACGGAGGAGCACGAA
rnacentral:rRNA from 1 species